rnacentral:rRNA from 1 species
UAAUACUGACGCUGAGGUACGAAAGCAUGGGGAGCAAACAGGAUUAGAUACCCUGGUAGUCCAUGCCGUAAACGAUGUCUACUAGCCGUUGGGGCCUUUGAGGCUUUAGUGGCGCAGCUAACGCGAUAAGUAGACCGCCUGGGGAGUACGGUCGCAAGACUAAAACUCAAAUGAAUUGACGGGGGCCCGCACAAGCGGUGGAGCAUGUGGUUUAAUUCGAUGCAACGCGAAGAACCUUACCUGGCCUUGACAUACUAGAAACUUUCCAGAGAUGGAUUGGUGCCUUCGGGAAUCUAGAUACAGGUGCUGCAUGGCUGUCGUCAGCUCGUGUCGUGAAAUGUUGGGUUAAGUCCCGCAACGAGCGCAACCCUUUUCCUUACUUGCCAGCAUUUCGGAUGGGAACUUUAAGGAUACUGCCAGUGACAAACUGGAGGAAGGCGGGGACGACGUCAAGUCAUCAUGGCCCUUACGGCCAGGGCUACACACGUGCUACAAUGGUCGGUACAAAGGGUUGCUACCUAGCGAUAGGAUGCUAAUCUCAAAAAGCCGAUCGUAGUCCGGAUUGGAGUCUGCAACUCGACUCCAUGAAGUCGGAAUCGCUAGUAAUCGCGGAUCAGAAUGCCGCGGUGAAUACGUUCCCGGGCCUUGUACACACCGCCCGUCACACCAUGGGAGUUUGUUGCACCAGAAGUAGGUAGUCUAACCGCAAGGAGGACGCUUACCACGGU